AGUCGAACGGCAGCACAGUAAGAGCUUGCUCUUAUGGGUGGCGAGUGGCGGACGGGUGAGGAAUACAUCGGAAUCUACCUUUUCGUGGGGGAUAACGUAGGGAAACUUACGCUAAUACCGCAUACGACCUUCGGGUGAAAGCAGGGGACCUUCGGGCCUUGCGCGGAUAGAUGAGCCGAUGUCGGAUUAGCUAGUUGGCGGGGUAAAGGCCCACCAAGGCGACGAUCCGUAGCUGGUCUGAGAGGAUGAUCAGCCAACUGGAACUGAGACACGGUCCAGACUCCUACGGGAGGCAGCAGUGGGGAAUAUUGGACAAUGGGCGCAAGCCUGAUCCAGCCAUACCGCGUGGGUGAAGAAGGCCUUCGGGUUGUAAAGCCCUUUUGUUGGGAAAGAAAAGCAGCCAGUUAAUACCUGGUUGUUCUGACGGUACCCAAAGAAUAAGCACCGGCUAACUUCGUGCCAGCAGCCGCGGUAAUACGAAGGGUGCAAGCGUUACUCGGAAUUACUGGGCGUAAAGCGUGCGUAGGUGGUUGUUUAAGUCUGUUGUGAAAGCCCUGGGCUCAACCUGGGAAUUGCAGUGGAUACUGGGCGACUAGAGUGUGGUAGAGGGUAGUGGAAUUCCUGGUGUAGCAGUGAAAUGCGUAGAGAUCAGGAGGAACAUCCAUGGCGAAGGCAGCUACCUGGACCAACACUGACACUGAGGCACGAAAGCGUGGGGAGCAAACAGGAUUAGAUACCCUGGUAGUCCACGCCCUAAACGAUGCGAACUGGAUGUUGGGUGCAAUUUGGCACGCAGUAUCGAAGCUAACGCGUUAAGUUCGCCGCCUGGGGAGUACGGUCGCAAGACUGAAACUCAAAGGAAUUGACGGGGGCCCGCACAAGCGGUGGAGUAUGUGGUUUAAUUCGAUGCAACGCGAAGAACCUUACCUGG
rnacentral:rRNA from 1 species